rnacentral:rRNA from 1 species
CCCUUAGAUGUCCUGGGCCGCACGCGCGUUACACUGAUGCAUUCAACGAGCUUAUAACCUUGGCCGAGAGGCCUGGGCAAUCUUGUUAACGUGCAUCGUGAUAGGGAUAGAUUAUUGAAAUUAUUAAUCUUGAACGAGGAAUUCCUAGUAAACGCAGAUCAUCAAUCUGCAUUGAUUACGUCCCUGCCCUUUGUACACACCGCCCGUCACACCUACCGAUUGGAUGGUCCGGUGAAGCCUCGGGAUUGUGGUUCUUGCCGCUUUAUUGUGGCGUGACCGCGAGAACUUGUCUAAACCUUAUCAUCUAGAGGAAGGUGAAGUCGUAACA